CCACUAUGUCCAAGAAGUAAUAUUCUUUACUUGUUCAUCAAUUUUCUUAACUUACCCAAUCCUUGGCCAACCCUGAGGUUCGCCCACGACUCACAAGCAUCUCAUGGUAAGGAAACUCAGCUCGUUCACAAACCCGAGACCGUCUGCGGGACCCCAUAAGGCUAUCCCUCAUGUGACAAAACUCCGGAGCGCACACUUGUGAGGAGCGACCAACACAAGUUCUGAACAGACAGCGAGUAUGAUCCAAUCCUCUCAACUCGAGGAUGCCCUAUCCACUAGGGCUAACAAUCACUUGGGAAUCCACCUAUCCCAAUGUCCAUAUGCAAGUGUUUAACUACACUAAGUUCUUGUUCAAUGACUCAUCACUAGGGAAUCCGCCUAUCCCUAAGUUUACAUGUCAAGUGCUACUUUACACUAAGUUUUAUGCCACUCGUUCUGCUGUCAUUGUUGUUUACAUGCCACUCGUUAUGUCUUUUGUCAACUAUCGAGUCCAUCUCUUAUCUCAACACUAUAGGAUUCAAUGUCUUGACCCAAUCCUUAUCUAUCCACUAUAUCAAGCAUUCAACUCACACUAUGAUAUCAUUUAGGAAAGCAUAAGGAAAUGGAAAUGCACAUUUAUCCUACAAUGCAUAUAUGCAAGAGAUGCAAGAUUUAAAAUGCACUAAGACAUAAAGAGGAGCCCGGUUGCUUCGGGAUGACACCACCUACCUUAUGGCGUUGUCACAACUCUAGGAAUGAAGUUCGCCGAUUUUACGACGUCGUCUCGGCCUCCGAGGCGGAAACGAAGCUCGUAAAGUCCUUUUUGCCAAUAACUUUGCACUCGCUCGACGAAUCGUCGAACCAUUUUCGCCUACGCGUUUAAACACCUAGCAAUUAGGUUUACACUUGAUCAAUUUAGAUCAAUACCCUACAAAUCACAAAACCCCAUUUUUGGAGCCCU
rnacentral:lncRNA from 1 species